GACGAACGCUGGCGGCGUGCUUAACACAUGCAAGUCGAACGGUGAAGCGCCUUCCUUUUUGGUGGGUGUGGAUGAGUGGCGAACGGGUGAGUAACACGUGAGUAACCUGCCCCCUUCUUCUGGAUAACCGCAUGAAAGUGUGGCUAAUACGGGAUAUUCUGGGUCUGUCGCAUGAUGGGUCUGGGAAAGAUAUUGUUUCGGUGGGGGAUGGGCUCGCGGCCUAUCAGCUUGUUGGUGUGGUGAUGGCCUACCAAGGCGGUGACGGGUAGCCGGCCUGAGAGGGUGGACGGUCACACUGGGACUGAGACACGGCCCAGACUCCUACGGGAGGCAGCAGUGGGGAAUAUGGCACAAUGGGCGCAAGCCUGAUGCAGCGACGCCGCGUGAGGGAUGGAGGCCUUCGGGUUGUGAACCUCUUUCGCCAGUGAAGCAGGCCUGCCUCGUUUGUGGGUGGGUUGACGGUAGCUGGAUAAGAAGCGCCGGCUAACUACGUG
rnacentral:rRNA from 1 species